rnacentral:rRNA from 6 species
UUGGACCUGAUAUCAGGCAAGAU